UAAGUCUCAGCCUAAUAAUCAUCAAAACGACAUUGCAUUGUGAGGAGAUGAAGGAUGUGACUCAAAAGGCAUUUGACCCUUUUCUCCAUCAAGUGUUUUCAGAAGUCUAAAACAACUCUUACUUCUCACAUAAGAUUACUGUGAAUCUUUACCAGCGGGUACAUUUUUCUCCAAAAUGAGGCGAUGAAGCUAUGAAGUGAAGCGUUGUUGACAGCACUAUAAAAGGUCGACAGAGCUACUAACAGAGACCCAAACGCAGAGGGUUACCUGGGUGCAUAGACAAAGGCUUAUUUUAGCCACCAUCCGAAGGUCGACAACAUUACAAAUAAUAUAUGCGAAGUAUGGAAUGACAAGAUUAUCGAAUAUAUAUAUAGAGAGGGAGAUUUCCAACUCGCUUUAAAUUAGCGCUGAGGUGUACACUUAAUUGUACGCUGAUGUGGACACACAAUCAGUUCAACUCAAAUUAGUAUCCCAAAUUUGAUUAAAACACCCAAAUUGAUCUAUUCACACUUAUAAAACCCUAACUCCCAAAUGUUCAUCUUUGUUCUUUGUAUUCAGCUUUGUUCUUCGUCUCCACUCUUCUCCUCCUCGUUACUGUUGUUCAUGUUCUUUGUCUCCACUCCUCUCCUCCUUGUUGUUGUUGUUGUUGUUGUUGUUCGUCUUUGUUCUUCAUCUCACUCCUCUCCUCCUCGUUGCUAUUGUUCAUCUUGUGAAGCUCUGAAAAGUUGUUCUUUGGGCGAGGCAUGAUGGGCGAUGAUGAUAAAAGUCAAGGAAGCUCAAGUAAGAACAACUCCAGUGGGAAAAAUUACAGUAACCGGGGGAUUCGAACCAGGGGUAAGAACGUUGUAUUAUGCAAUUGUAGGUUGCGUACUAUGAUUAAGUACUUAGCAACGCCAGAGAAUUUAGGAAGACCUUUUUAUGGGUGUCCCAACUAUGAGGUAAAAUGCUAUAUUUGAUGGAAUUCAAUAUUUCUUUUUGUAUUAUUAUAGUUUGAAAUUCAGUGUAAUUUCUUUUGUUGGACCGAUGGAUACGAAAAACAAGGUGUGGUUCAGGUUGCACAAGAAAUUUUUAAUGAACUCAACUGGAGAAUGGAAUCUUUAGAGAGUAGUAUUAGCACAUUGAAGAUGCUUAUGUUUGGUGUUUGGUUGUUUUGGUUUUUAGUUAAAAAAUAGCUAGAGUGUGAGUGUGUCCAUGAUCAUUAUGUAAUGAUUUAUGAUUAUAAAU